rnacentral:rRNA from 1 species
CUUUAAGUGAACUGCGCAAGAAAAUCUCUUUUCUUACGAUUCAGCCUUGCGACCGUACUCCCCAGGCGGCGAGCUUAACGGCUUCCCUGCGACACUUCGAUCGCGAACUGCGAUCGAAUCAUCUAGCUCGCAUCGUUUACGGCUGGGACUACCCGGGUAUCUAAUCCGGUUCGCUCCCCCAGCUUUCACCCCUCACCGUCGAGCGCGUUCUGGCGGACCGCCUUCGCCAUUCACCAAGCCUGUGAUGUUAUCGCAGGCAAUCUGGUGGUCUUCCGCGGAUCAAAGGAUUUUACCCCUACACGCGGAGUACCGUCCGCCUCUCCCGA